GGGGACGUAGCUCAGUUGGCAGAGCGUCGCGUUCGCAAUGCGAAGGUCGUGGGUUCGACUCCCAUCGUCUCCACCA
rnacentral:tRNA from 2 species